rnacentral:rRNA from 1 species
UGGAGAGUUUGAUCCUGGCUCAGGACGAACGCUGGCGGCGUGCCUAAUACAUGCAAGUCGAGCGGACCGGGCGGGAGCUUGCUUCCGCUUGGUUAGCGGCGGACGGGUGAGUAACACGUGGGUAACCUGCCCGUAAGACCGGGAUAACUCCGGGAAACCGGGGCUAAUACCGGAUAACACCGAAGACCGCAUGGUCUUCGGUUGAAAGGCGGCUUCGGCUGCCACUUACGGAUGGGCCCGCGGCGCAUUAGCUAGUUGGUGAGGUAACGGCUCACCAAGGCRACGAUGCGUAGCCGGCCUGAGAGGGUGACCGGCCACACUGGGACUGAGACACGGCCCAGACUCCUACGGGAGGCAGCAGUAGGGAAUCUUCCGCAAUGGACGAAAGUCUGACGGAGCGACGCCGCGUGAGCGAAGAAGGUCUUCGGAUCGUAAAGCUCUGUUGUUAGGGAAGAAGAAGUGCCGUUCGAACAGGGCGGCACGGUGACGGUACCUAACGAGAAAGCCCCGGCUAACUACGUGCCAGCAGCCGCGGUA